ensembl:lncRNA
AUGUUUAAGAGAGCUGCUAUUGCCCUGAAAACAGUUGAACCGCUUUUAAAGAAAACAACCUCUCCAGACUUUUUCUUGAAUGAAUCGGCUACAUGCAACGUUGCCAGUCUGAAAGACCGCGUGAAUUUAAUUUUGCAACGACGUCAUCCUUCGGGAUUUCUGUCAACGGUCCGUUCACCCAAAGAGAGAAUGAACUCAUCCAGCCUGAUUAAAAAUGGUCUGCUGCGGGACGACCAUCCUCUGAAGCUCAGAGUGAAGGCACUGAUUGAGCACAGAAGAUUUAGCGAUUCAUUUUUUUUGCCAGCAAGAGAAGAGGCCCCUGACCUCACACCGCCUGCUCCCUGCCGAAGCAACUCUUCACCAGACAACGAGGAUGUCGUCCACAAGGGUUUCCAGCGUUUCCUCAGCAUUCUCAACGAAGGAGUGGACAUGGACUUCCUCAGCAGGAUUGUUAACGAUGAGCAUCCAGAUCUUCCUCUAGGUGAGGAGCUCCUCAACGUUGAGGUUCCUGCUGUAGAGAGCAUGUCAGAUCCAACCUUCAGGAGAGCGAGCCAACAAUCCGAUAGUGAAGCCUCAGUGCCGGGCUGCCAUCGGGCCAACGGUGAAGAAGGGGAAUGUGACAAGCCCAGUCAAGAGAGAUCCCUCGGUGAGAGACUUUCCCCGCCCGCUAAUGACGACGAGGAGAGGAGUCGAUCCAAGUCUCCCGCUGCAGUGAAGAAGAAAGAAGAAGAAGAAGAAAAACCAGAGGUGGACGAGCAGCGUGCACAUCUCCAGAACAUUCUUCAAUCUCUGGGGUUGAGCCUGGAAGUAGAGGAGAUGAGCAAAUUAGCAGACCGGACUCGGGAGAGGCUGUAUGGAAAGAAGCACGAAGGCAAAGGACUAGAGCAGGAGAUUCGGCAGAGGGCUCCUCAAAGACAUUACAGUAAGUCCUCCUCUUCGUCUUCCUCCUCCUCAAGAUCAAGCUCCAGAAGCAAUAGUCCGAACCCUGCUCGCCGUCGGUCCUCCCACAGCAGACAACGGUCUGAAUGCGGUCGCCAUUCGAGUGACAGGAGGGCAGAUGGACUGGCUUGCCAUGUCGGUAGCGAGGACCGCAAAGAAGAGCCGAGUUACGGGGACCACCACGAAAAAAAACCCAAAGAAAUGUUUUCUUAUCAACAAAACCAUACGUAUAGCCAGCCCGCUGCUCCUCCUGCAUUUCCACAAAACAGUUUCUACCAAAGCUGCCAGUACACUGCCUACCACAGUGGCUCCUACGGCACUGCUUCAAGUUCUCACUGGACGUCUACACAAGUUGCCACGCCGCCUUUCUUUUAUACAAGUGGGCCUCCUUAUCCACAAAACACCUACCAACACUCUCCUGCCGCUGAAGUGCCCCCUGUCGUUUGUGACCCAUAUAGACGUAUGUCUUUGAAAAAGAACCGAUUUUGGAAUCCAGAUCUGCCGGGGAGCGGAGGCCAAACUGGAUCUUUUUCAGGCAAUCGCUGCCUGCAGUUUAUCAGCACUAAGCAGCCAACCGCUGGCAGCUGUGUACAGGAACCCCCCCCCAAAAAGAAAAAGAAGAAGAAAAAGAAGAAUAAUAAUGUAAAGAACCAACAACAAAAACCUACUGGCGUUGCGGUGCACCCUAGAAUUCAUGCCCCCCCGUAUUUGGACACAAACCUGUUCAUGAACCCAGAUCUGUCAGGGAGUGAAGGCCAAAUUGGAUUUUUUUCACGCAAAUCCUACCUGCAGACAGUCAACCCUAAGAAGCCAACUGCUGAAAGCCGUUUACAGGAACCCCCCAAAAAGUCAACAAAAACAAAUGAAUAUGAAGACAAAAGUUCACUUACAGAUUGUUCAUGUACAUAA